UGGAAAAAGACAGGCCAAGGAUCUGCAACUAGAACAAUGAAGGGAAGCUUUCUUCUCAUUAGUAAAAUUUUAACUGAAAUUUGCUUGGAGGGUCAGCUCAAGACUAUUUUAUUCUCUUGGCUGUAUCAAGUCCAAUAUUUUGAGAUACUUAAGCAAAAUGACAUUUUAUUGAUAAUUCCUUUAAAUUUUUUUUCUUUAUUCUAUUAGUAACACAUGCUGGUGACAAGUGAAACCCUCCAGUACACAACAUAAAUGGCAAAGAGGACUCACUUUUCCUGGUCUUCUAUCCCCAUCACACACCUUCUGAGGGUUUCAACAAAAUACGUGGAUCUAGCAUAUUAAAGAUCAGCAAAGCCUAUGUCUUCCAAACGCCACUCUGAACAUUACUGGUUUUCACUGGCCUGCUGUGAAAUGAGAAAAAUAAUGACAAUGUGGGCGAGAAGGGUGAGAGGCUUAAUUGCUGGAACUGCAGUGCUGUGUAAGUGCUCCUGUCCCAUCGUGCUGCAUCCUCGGAGCUUUCCCUCACAAAGGCUGCUCAGCAGGUCCUGCAAUAGCUGGUGGGAAACCACGAGGAGGGAUGCUCCAACUUACCAAGUAUUUCCCUGGGAGUUCCUAAUUUCAAUGAGAAGAAUAUUCUCUAAUUAAAAUGCCGCUGCAGAAUCUUUUUUAAAACAAAUUGCCAUCUAAUUUCCCUUUGAUCUUUUUUUUUUUUCCACUUGGGUUGCAAGGUUUUAAGAAUUUUCCCCAAACACUUUGAGUCUACAGUAAUUUUAUUUCAUUCUAAUUAAACUUCAAAGGACAAAAUGCCAAGCCACCAGAAAAAGCUAAGCUUUUUUCUGCUUCACUGGUGCAAGAAGCAUUUUCGGGACAUCUACGCUGUGCCUGACAUUGUGCUGGGUGUUGGAGAGACAAAGAUGGAUAAAUACGACUCGGUCCUUGCGCUUGCUGGGUCCACUGUUUCCAGGACACCAUCAAGCCAUAAACAGAACAUUGUAAUGCAAUGUGGUGACCACAGAAACACCAUCACACAGCCAUUUUAUAUAGGGCUUUGUGGGAGCAAAAUGGCAGCCCUGGCUGAGCUGACACUUUAAAUGAAAUUUAAAGGAUGACUACAAUUUAGCCAAAUGAGAGCAUGAAGGACACGCCAGUCAGAGGAGACAACAUAAGCUCAGGUCCGGGGGUGGGAAAUGGCAUUGAUGUGGAUCAAGGCUGCCCCAGGGAGAGAAGCCCAAGGCGUCCCAGCCUGCAUGCCGAUCUAUAUCAUCCUCCAGGAAGCAUAGGAUAUCCUGACCUGAUCCAACCUGACUCAUAUCCAGAGUUAUAUGACCACUCGAUAACCAGACCCCACCUGCACUGAUACCAUGUUAACAGCUUUUUUACAUGAUCUUUCCUUUGUCUUGUAAAGAAGUAACUCACAUACCUCUGCUUUAUAAAUUUAGCCCUACCCUCAACCCAUUGCAGCUCUUCACUGCCCAUGGGUCCUGUCUCCAUGUCUGCAGCUCUUCACUGCCCAUGGGUCCUGUCCCCAUGCUAUUCUCUGAAUAAAAAAGCACUACUACC
ensembl:lncRNA